rnacentral:rRNA from 1 species
UUACGGCCAUGUCACGUGGAAACAUGGGUUCUAGUAAGGUCUUCGAAGUUAAGCAACGUCAAGCCUGGUCAGUAUCUAGAUGGGUAACCACUUGGGAAUACCAGGUGCUGUAUG